GUAGGUGGCAAGCGUUGUCCGGAGUUAUUGGGCGUAAAGCGCGCGCAGGCGGGGUCCUUUAAGUCUGAUGUGAAAGCCCACGGGCUCAACCGUGGAGGGUCAUUGGAAACUGGGGGACUUGAGUACAGAAGAGGAAAGCGGAAUUCCAAGUGUAGCGGUGAAAUGCGUAGAGAUUUGGAGGAACACCAGUGGCGAAGGCGGCUUUCUGGUCUGUAACUGACGCUGAGGCGCGAAAGCGUGGGGAGCAAACAGGAUUAGAUACCCUGGUAGUCCACGCCGUAAACGAUGAGUGCUAAGUGUUAGGGGGUUUCCGCCCCUUAGUGCUGCAGCUAACGCAUUAAGCACUCCGCCUGGGGAGUACGGCCGCAAAGGCUG
rnacentral:rRNA from 1 species